GAUGAACGCUGGCGGCGUGCCUAAUACAUGCAAGUCGAGCGAACAGACGAGGAGCUUGCUCCUCUGACGUUAGCGGCGGACGGGUGAGUAACACGUGGAUAACCUACCUAUGAGACUGGGAUAACUUCGGGAAACCGGAGCUAAUACCGGAUACUAUAUUGAACCGCAUGGUUCAAUAGUUAACGACGGUUUUGCUGUCACUUAUAGAUGGAUCCGCGCCGGAUUAGCUAGUUGGUAAGGUAACGGCUUACCAAGGCAACGAUGCGUAGCCGACCUGAGAGGGUGAUCGGCCACACUGGAACUGAGACACGGCCCAGACUCCUACGGGAGGCAGCAGUAGGGAAUCUUGCGCAAUGGGCGAAAGCCUGACGGAGCAACGCCGCGUGAGGGAUGAAGGUCUUCGGAUCGUAAACCUCUGUUAUUAGGGAAGAACAAAUGUGUAAGUAACUAUGCACGUCUUGACGGUACCUAAUCAGAAAGCCACGGCUAACUACGUG
rnacentral:rRNA from 1 species